AUCAGGUAGGGAUACCCGCUGAACUUAAGCAUAUCAAUAAGCGGAGGAAAAGAAACUAACAAGGAUUCCCCUAGUAGCGGCGAGCGAAGCGGGAAGAGCUCAAAUUUGUAAUCUGGCGCUUUCAGCGUCCGAGUUGUAAUCUCUAGAAAUGUUUUCCGCGUUGGACCGCACACAAGUCUGUUGGAAUACAGCGGCACAGUGGUGAUACCCCCGUACACGGUGCGGACGCCCAGCGCUUUGUGAUACACUUUCAAUGAGUCGAGUUGUUUGGUAAUGCAGCUCAAA
rnacentral:rRNA from 1 species